CGCUUGCCAAGCCGAAGGGCGCGGCGCACGGUUUCCGGCACCGUGGUCUGGUAGCGAUCGGUCAGCGUGGAUUCGACUUCGAGGCUGGCGG
rnacentral:tRNA from 3 species